GAUGAACGCUGGCGGCGUGCCUAAUACAUGCAAGUCGAGCGAACAGACGAGGAGCUUGCUCCUCUGACGUUAGCGGCGGACGGGUGAGUAACACGUGGAUAACCUACCUAUAAGACUGGGAUAACUUCGGGAAACCGGAGCUAAUACCGGAUAAUAUAUUGAACCGCAUGGUUCAAUAGUGAAAGACGGUUUUGCUGUCACUUAUAGAUGGAUCCGCGCCGCAUUAGCUAGUUGGUGAGGUAACGGCUUACCAAGGCAACGAUGCGUAGCCGACCUGAGAGGGUGAUCGGCCACACUGGAACUGAGACACGGUCCAGACUCCUACGGGAGGCAGCAGUAGGGAAUCUUCCGCAAUGGGCGAAAGCCUGACGGAGCAACGCCGCGUGAGUGAUGAAGGUCUUCGGAUCGUAAAACUCUGUUAUUAGGGAGGAACAAAUGUGUAAGUAACUAUGCACGUCUUGACGGUACCUAAUCAGAAAGCCACGGCUAACUACGUG
rnacentral:rRNA from 1 species